CAGCAGCCGCGGUAAUACGAAGGGUGCAAGCGUUAAUCGGAAUUACUGGGCGUAAAGCGUGCGUAGGCGGUGAGUUAAGUCUGCUGUGAAAUCCCCGGGCUCAACCUGGGAAUGGCAGUGGAUACUGGCUCGCUAGAGUGUGUCAGAGGAUGGUGGAAUUCCCGGUGUAGCGGUGAAAUGCGUAGAGAUCGGGAGGAACAUCAGUGGCGAAGGCGGCCAUCUGGGGCAACACUGACGCUGAGGCACGAAAGCGUGGGGAGCAAACAGGAUUAGAUACCCGCGUAGUCCCUGUCUCUUAUAA
rnacentral:rRNA from 1 species